UACGUAGGGUGCGAGCGUUAAUCGGAAUUACUGGGCGUAAAGCGUGCGCAGGCGGUUCGUUAAGUUCGUUGUGAAAGCCCCGGGCUCAACCUGGGAACUGCAAUGGAAACUGGUCAGCUGGAGUGUGGCAGAGGGGGGUGGAAUUCCGCGUGUAGCAGUGAAAUGCGUAGAGAUGCGGAGGAACACCGAUGGCGAAGGCAGCCCCCUGGGCCAACACUGACGCUCAGGCACGAAAGCGUGGGGAGCAAACAGG
rnacentral:rRNA from 1 species